AUACGGAGGAUCCGAGCGUUAUCCGGAUUUAUUGGGUUUAAAGGGAGCGUAGGCGGACGCUUAAGUCAGUUGUGAAAGUUUGCGGCUCAACCGUAAAAUUGCAGUUGAUACUGGGUGUCUUGAGUACAGUAGAGGCAGGCGGAAUUCGGGGUGUAGCGGUGAAAUGCUUAGAUAUCACGAAGAACUCCGAUUGCGAAGGCAUCCUGCUGGACUGUAACUGACGCUGAUGCUCGAAAGUGUGGGUAUCAAACAGGAUUAGAUACCCUGGUAGUCCACACAGUAAACGAUGAAUACUCGCUGUUUGCGAUAUACAGUAAGCGGCCAAGCGAAAGCGUUAAGUAUUCCACCUGGGGAGUACGCCGGCAACGGUGAAACUCAAAGGAAUUGACGGGG
rnacentral:rRNA from 1 species